UACAGAGGUCUCGAGCGUUGUUCGGAUUCAUUGGGCGUACAGGGCGCGUAGGCUGCGGGGCAAGUCGGGUGUGAAAUCUCAGAGCUCAACUCUGAAACUGCACUCGAUACUGCUUUGCUUGAGGACUGGAGAGGAGAUUGGAAUUCACGGUGUAGCAGUGAAAUGCGCAGAUAUCAGGAGGAACACCGGUGGCGAAGGCGGGUCUCUGGGCCGAAAUUGACGCUGAGGAGCGAAAGCGUGGGGAGCAAACAGG
rnacentral:rRNA from 1 species